rnacentral:rRNA from 1 species
GGGGAAUAUUGGACAAUGGGGGCAACCCUGAUCCAGCCAUGCCGCGUGUGUGAAGAAGGCCUUCGGGUUGUAAAGCACUUUAAGUUGGGAGGAAAGGGUGCUGGCUAAUAUCCAGUAUCUAUGACGUUACCAACAGAAUAAGCACCGGCUAACUCCGUGCCAGCAGCCGCGGUAAUACGGAGGGUGCAAGCGUUAAUCGGAAUUACUGGGCGUAAAGCGCGCGUAGGCGGCUAGUUAAGCUAGAUGUGAAAUCCCUGGGCUCAACCUGGGAACUGCAUUUAGAACUGACGGGCUAGAGUGCAGAAGAGGAGUGUGGAAUUUCCGGUGUAGCGGUGAAAUGCGUAGAGAUCGGAAGGAACAUCAGUGGCGAAGGCGACACUCUGGUCUGACACUGACGCUGAGGUGCGAAAGCGUGGGUAGCAAAC